AAUCUGUACAGUAGAUAUGGGGCCGUGGGUUGCUAUACAGCCGCAGCAGAACGGGCCCUUCAUAUAAGUUACACAGGGAGCCACUCAGUACCAGGCAGAUUUAUUCCUGACAGAGGGGAACAGGUGCAGCUUGCACUGCUUAACCUUGGAAACACGAGCCCCCUCCGGCUAUCAGUGCAUCUCUACUGCUCUCUCGGAUUCAGGAAGGGUUAAUUAAAGAACUUUUAAAAUCAACACAGAAUGUGCAGGUGAAAGGGUGGAGAAAUGUGCUGAGGCAGGAAUGGCAAGAAGAAGCUGACAUUGGACUCCUAGCUGACGAUAACACACAUGUUCUAGGGCUAUAUCUGCUUCCAGUACUUGGAGAUCCGCAACUCAAAUAAGAUCCCAUUUCAAGCUAAUUUGUACGGUACUUACUGUGCCUUCUGGUGUCCUGCAAGUGCCCAUCAAUACUGUCUUCCAAACCCCUUAAUGCGCUACAAACAUUUAUAACAGUUUGCCUUUAACUACAGGAUUGUUCCUCAUGUGUUUUGCAUAUAAACUGCAGAUUAUUGGAAGAGAAUAUAUAAUAUAUGGCUGAAAGAUUCCGGCCCAACUGAGCAGAGAAUAAAUCUGCACCGAGGAGGAUGUGGAUAUUAGAAAUUCAACGGAUUCGUCACUGAGAGCUUUGCAUGGACCACGCCAGAUGUCUGCAUAUGAAGGGAACAGAUGGAUGAAUAUAGUUUUCAGCCUAUACCAUAUGCCUCAGACACAAGGGCAAUUACUCAGAUCCUUCUUGAUUUUAUGGGAAAUGGAUACAUGUAAGUUUCCUAUGGCUGCCACACAAUAAGGCAAAGUUAUGUACACUUCUGCAUAUAGACCUUACAUUUAUCAGGGUUCUGCACAAAACAGUUUUAUAUUUCUAUUAUAUGUAUGGAAUUUUAGAGUCAUUAAAAAUAAAAAACAAUUUUGGAAA